GGUACCUUUAUUUUUUUAAUUUUUUAAGUUUUUUUUUUAAAUUUUUAAAUUUUUUAAAUUUUUUUAAAAGUUUUUUUCAAUUCCCAAUUUAAUUUAAAAUCGGGAAAGAAACACGUGGAUUAUCGGAAAAGUAAACACAUGGAUUAGUCAAAAAAAAACAUUUAAAGAGAUACGUGAAGUGUACAUGAUUGUUUUGAGAAAAGAAAGAAAAGAAAAGAAAAGAAAAGAAAAGAAAAGAAAAGAAAAGAAAAGAAAAGAAAAGAAAAAAAAGAAAAUUUUAUUCACUUGUUACAAUCAAAUUUUUAAGUAGUUUUGUUUUGUUUUGUUUUUAAAUUUUAACGUAGUGCACAACUUCCUUUUUUAGGGUCCACACUACCAAUUUCGUCCGACCUCGGACCGAAGUCGAAAACAAUCUCGCCCCG
rnacentral:rRNA from 1 species